rnacentral:rRNA from 1 species
UACAGAGGGGGCUAGCGUUGUUCGGAUUUACUGGGCGUAAAGGGCGCGUAGGCGGCGUGUUAAGUCACUUGUGAAAUCUCUAAGCUUAACUUAGAACGGUCAAGUGAUACUGAUGUGCUAGAGUGCAGAAGGGGCAACCGGAAUUCUUGGUGUAGCGGUGAAAUGCGUAGAUAUCAAGAGGAACACCUGAGGUGAAGACGGGUUGCUGGGCUGACACUGACGCUGAGGCGCGAAGGCUAGGGUAGCAAACGGG